CUUUUUCCCCGGAGCUUGCUCCACCGGAAAAAGAGGAGUGGCGAACGGGUGAGUAACACGUGGGUAACCUGCCCAUCAGAAGGGGAUAACACUUGGAAACAGGUGCUAAUACCGUAUAACAAUCAAAACCGCAUGGUUUUGAUUUGAAAGGCGCUUUCGGGUGUCGCUGAUGGAUGGACCCGCGGUGCAUUAGCUAGUUGGUGAGGUAACGGCUCACCAAGGCCACGAUGCAUAGCCGACCUGAGAGGGUGAUCGGCCACAUUGGGACUGAGACACGGCCCAAACUCCUACGGGAGGCAGCAGUAGGGAAUCUUCGGCAAUGGACGAAAGUCUGACCGAGCAACGCCGCGUGAGUGAAGAAGGUUUUCGGAUCGUAAAACUCUGUUGUUAGAGAAGAACAAGGAUGAGAGUAACUGUUCAUCCCUUGACGGUAUCUAACCAGAAAGCCACGGCUAACUACGUGCCAGCAGCCGCGGUAAUACGUAGGUGGCAAGCGUUGUCCGGAUUUAUUGGGCGUAAAGCGAGCGCAGGCGGUUUCUUAAGUCUGAUGUGAAAGCCCCCGGCUCAACCGGGGAGGGUCAUUGGAAACUGGGAGACUUGAGUGCAGAAGAGGAGAGUGGAAUUCCAUGUGUAGCGGUGAAAUGCGUAGAUAUAUGGAGGAACACCAGUGGCGAAGGCGGCUCUCUGGUCUGUAACUGA
rnacentral:rRNA from 1 species